CACAUUCUACCAAACCAAUUCUUCGCUUCAUCGAUGGAAGCUCCGUUAGAGCUAAGGUAGUAAUUGGUUGUGAUGGUGGCAAAUCUAUAAUUGCAAACUUCCUUAACCUCAAGCCUACAAAGAUGUUCCCGUCAAGCGCCAUAAGAGGUCUAACAAACUACCCAAAUGGUCAUUCAUUCGAGCAUGAGUUUGCUCGUUUUUGGAAAGAUAACAUUCUUGUGGGAAUAAUUCCAGUUGAUUGAUGAUGAUAACAUGGUUCACUGGUUUUGUUUGCUACCAUACAUUCCUAAAGAUGAAAAAAUUUGGGUAGAUCCCGGUGUGAUACAACAAGUAACACUAGAGUUGGUAAGCGACCAUCCACAGGAAAUUCGCAAAAUGAUAUAAAACACAGACAUGGAAUCAUUAUCUAUUACACACAUGAGAUAUCGUGCACCAUGGGACUUGUUAACUGGCUCGUUUUGUAAAGGAACAGUAACAGUUGCCGGUGACGCUAUGCAUGUCAUGGGCCCAUUUUUGGGUCAAGGUGGUUCAGCUGGGUUAGAAGAUUCAGUUGUGUUGGCUAGAACAAUGGCUCAGUUGGGUUUGAAUUGUUUUAAAAGCGGGAGUAAGCUAACGGUCCAUGGAGUUGAGGAAGCGUUUAGUCGGUUCGUGAAACAACGAAGGAUGAGGGUAGUCCGAUUAUCGUUGCAAACUUACCUCACUGGCAUGCUAUGGGGUACUUCUUCAUUUUUAAAUAAGAUUAUGUAUAUUGUGUUAUUGAUUCUUCUUUUUCACAACCAAAAUGGUCAUACUGAUUAUGAUUGUGGUGAUCUUUGAUAUGUUCAAAGAUCAUUAAAC